GUUUUUUUUAUUUUUUGUAAUAUUCUUGAUUUUUGUGACAAUUUUGAGGAUUGAAUCGACUAGUCUACCGAAACCUGUGGACAGCUCUACUGACCAUGUCCAUCGACUAGGCCGAAGCAACUUACAGAAAGCCCAGUUAUGUCUAAUAAAAAGAGGAGUAACAGUUUAGGAUUUUUCUAAUUGUUAUCAAGCCUCCAAGAGAUUUUUGAGAAGCCGAACUACGAAAUAGCCUAUCAUUUACAGUACUCGGGAUACAUGUUACAUUGCUAGAACAUCACACAAAAGAAAGUGCAAUUUCCAUAGGAUAACGUUAUGAAAGAAACAGUAUUUUGCCUAAGCUGGCCAAUGAAUUCUCUCGCAGAUUUUGGACCGCAAAAAUCACUUAUCUAAGUAAACAUGUACGCGAGCAGGCCGAUAUACAUUUGUGGUCAUAGACCCUAUAAGAAAGACUCAAUGUCCAGUUCCAAGAAGGAGCAUGGAUCAGGAACAUCAAAGUUGUUCAAAACCUCAGGGUGCACAAUACCAAAAAUGCCAAUGCACUUGCCCUUGUAAAUGAUACUUGCUUGUCUACCCUGAAGAAACUCAGGUGCAUCAGAACACUGAAUGUAAUACCCCGUAUUGUCACCAACUGGUACAAAAGGAGUCCCCAUCACUUCCAUGACUCUGUCGACCAAGGAAUGAAUCAACUCAAAUCCUGAGUUAGUGCCACAAUAUAGAGCUGCAAGUAGGCGACGAUUUGCUGCACCAACAUCUUUACUCUCAUCCAGAUGUACUACAUCACCCACUUCAAAAAUCUUUAUUGGCUUUGGAUGAUCCUUAUUAUGUCCAACUAUUUUCAAAGCACCAGGCAUAAGGCUGGUUCGGACAGCCUCGAAGUCCGAUGAACGAGGAUUUCCAACAAUCACAGCAGUUGAUCCAUCAUCUUUUUUAUUUAACAUGGAAAAAUUCUCCCGAUAAGAGCAUAAAAUCCAUGUCAAAACCUCUGUAAACCCGUUCAUUGCAACCUCCACUCUAAUUAGAUCCUCAAGCUGAUUCAAUGCUAAUGGCUUCAAUGAUGGUAGCUUUCUCUUUGGAAUAUUAUUAUACCCAUAAGCAAUUGCAACAUCCUCCAUAACAUCACAUGGGUGAAGAACAUCGCUUCUGCUUGGAGGUAUAGAUACAUUGAUAUUACAUUGAUCAGCAUCAGAUACAGACUGCUCAGCUUGCAAUUGCAUCCGAUUUAACAGACUUGUGACCUCUUCUGCCUUAAAAGAAACUCCAAUUGAGCCAGUAAUAUAUGAUAGAGGAACUUCCAUAUUAUAGGAAGAUAAGUCAGGAUAGACAUAUGCCUUUCCAUCAGAAUAUAUCACUUCAACUGGUUCCACCUCAAAUUUUCUUUUACAAUAUGCUGAAAAAGUUGUUACCAUUGUGUUCAAAACAAUCUUAGCCUUUGUCAGGUCAGUGGCUGUACAUUCAAUGAAAACAUUCUUUGUCUUCAAAGUGAUAGCUGAAUGUGCACCAUUAAUAAUUGGCGGCAGAGAUAAGACAGUUCUGUUACUGUCAUAUAAGACAGGGAACACUGGUGAGUUCUCAAUUAUAUGCAAAAAUUUCUUCAGCUUCAAAUCAUGCUCCUGUGAUUGCAAAAUAUUCAACAUUACAAAUAUAUAGAAGUCAAUUCAAUAAUCCUGAAAGUAUGCAAAGAACUGCCAAUAUCUCAAUAUUUAUAAGGGGGAAAAUAUAUAUUCAAAGUUAGGAUUUGUCAAAAGCACUGAUGGACAGUGAAAUGCAAAUGCCUUGGGGUCAGCUCACCCGGUAAAACUCCAUCAGCUCAUCAGCUCUGUAUUUUUUGACCUGUUUUAGUGGAAUAAAAUUUAUGUCUUGAGGAGGCAAAGCCUCAUAAGUGAAAGGACCUUGUAAUGUAUCCAAGUCAUGAGUCCCAAUUGCAACUAAUGUUCUUCGCCUGCAAAUGUUUUGAUGAAGCUUAUCUUGGAGAUCAAUGAAGCUGUUGUAACUUGCUUCAUCAAAUGUAAUAUCUCUUAAAACAGCACAAACAAUGUAGGGACGAAUGGAUGAUGUCUCUGGCUUUACUUGCAUCUUAUGCAUUGAUUCCUUGCUAAUGUUGGCAACAGUAUAUGUUGGUGUCUUAUCCUGCUUGUUAAAGAUGCGGAGGGCUUGAGCUAGCCCCUCAAGGCAAAGCAAAUCAUAUCUGUUAGCAGGAACUUCGAUUUUAUAAAUAAUUUCUUCGUUCUCAUUUGCUUUUUCUUCUUCAUGCCUCUCUUUUCUACUAAUGGCUUCACCGGUUGUCACAUCAUCAAGCUCAAUACCAAAACUGAAGCAAAGAUCCUCGAACUCCUCCUGAGUGUAAGUUCUUCCUAGAGCCGCGAAAAGACGAUCUCUCACCACAUUCACAGUAGGCAUGGUAGCUUCUUUGUCGUGGAUAAGAAUCUAGCUCUGUGAGAAGCGGCGAGGUUGAGGAGCACCAGCUGGGAUUUGGGCGGUUGCGAUCAGCAGCGAGCUUGAGGGUUCUAGAUUCCGUGUAGAAGCGAGAGUGAGAGAAAGGUAGACACUAGGCCAGCAAUGACA
rnacentral:misc_RNA from 1 species